rnacentral:lncRNA from 1 species
GAAGCUGCUGCUAUUCCACUAUUUGUUCCCUUGGUGCUAACUCCUGACAUUCUUUCUACAAUGGACUCUUCUAAUUAAGUUCUGGCACACAGGGUUUUUGUUUUGUUUUUGUUUUUUGUUUGUUUUGUUUUGUUUUAAACAGAGUUUUGCAUAGCCUGGGUUAGCUUAAAUUUGAUGUGUAGCUGAGGAUAACUUUGAAUUCCUGAUCCUUUUGCUUCUGACACCCAAGUAUUUGAUAUAAAUGCCUGUAUCAAAAAUUGAGGAAUUAAUAUUGAGGUGGCAAGGAGAGAUCCAUAAAAGUUUGUGGGUGGGUGUGUUUAUGUGUGUCUAGGGGUGUGUGCUGAUUGCCAAAUCAAGGGUGUUUACUUGUGAAGCAGCCAAAAGAAUAAUGGAUGGAACAGUGGAUAUCUACAAGUCUGAUUUUGCUAUUACUUUACCGUGCAGUCUUACACUGUGGCUAUCAUUUGGUUACCUCACAUUUCCAUAUUUUUCUACGGCUCCAGCUCCAACAUAAUAGGAAGAAUAAGGAAAGGAAAUAUGUGUGUGAACAAAGGAAAAUAUGAAUGAUUAAGGGAAAUUUUUUUAAUCAAAAUUCAAAUUCAGUUUUACUAAUGCGUUACAUGGGAUGUUAAGUUUACCAUAUAAAACUAACAUCUAACAAGCAGCUCCCCUGGUUGUCAUUGAUGAUGAAGCCAGACCCCUUUUUCUUCCCCUAUUAAGUUACUAUUCUCGGAUAUAAAAUAUGCAAGCUAAAAAAACCAAAAAACCUCACCAAUGACAGAGCGCGCAUGGGUUGGACCUACCCCCCCCCCCCCAUUUGUAACAGAAGUGCAGCUUGGUCUUCAUGCAGAUCCCUCAACAACUGGAACAGGUUUGUCCCUGAGUCAGUUGCCUGUGUGUGGCUCUCGUUCCCCUCACUGGGGAACUUCACUGGAAGCGGAUGACUCUAGUCCUGUAGAGACUUAAUGUUCUGGGACAAGGGUGGGUGGUCAUACCCAGAGAGGGCUCCCCCUUUUCAGAGGAGAAAGGGAGGAGAGGGGGUCUGAUAUUGAAUGUUAAGUGAACAGAUAAAUAAUUUUUAAAAGCCAGCUUGUCAAAUUUAUUAGUGUUUUAGAAACUUGGCCUAACAAGACUUCCAGUGGAGUGUUAAUAAUACUAAGUUAGAUCCUUUUCUUUUAGUGAGCAGUGAAAAUUCCUUUUUGAAAUAACAAGCACAGAGUACUCAAUAGCAGAAGUGAAGCAGUUUGUGACCUUGCAAGUGUGGGUGCCCUCAUUGAGAGCAGAGAACUUUUAUGACCCUAAACACCAGUCUCUCCCUCCUUCUCUUCAUUGGCUGAGUAAUGGAGGAUUGCAGUCUUUUAAAAGAAGAUUUAUUUUUAUCUUAUGAGUGUUUGGUUUGUGUGCCACAAUUACAGAUGGUUGUUAGCUGCCAUGUGGGAAGGUUGGGAAUAGAACCUGGGUCCUCUGGAAGAGCAAGAAGUGGGUGCUGUGCUCUUAGCUGCUGAGCCAUCUCUCCAGACCCAGGGUUACACCCUUAUAUACAUUGUCACUUUCCCAACAAGUACACCUGCAUUGAUUUAGCAUCAUUUACAUCUCGUUGGCUAAAAAACAUUGCAGAAAUGUUAUUUAGGCAGUGGUGGUGCACAUGUUUAAUCCCAGCGCUUGGGAGGCAGAGGCAGAGGCAGGUGGAUCUCUUGAGUUUGAGGCCAGCCUGGUCUUCCACAGAAAUCUCAACUAAGCUAGGACUUUUCCACUAAGGCCAAAACUUUGUAAGCAAGCACUUAUGGCUGACAAGGCAGUUAACAUUCAAACAGGGUCGCUCCCAACACAGAGCUACACAGAAACCUUGUUUUGAAAUGUUGUGGGAAAUACUGAAAAAGAAUGGCAAGUUCCCAUGCUACACCCAGCUACUCUCUGCCAAGGUGGUCUGUGCACUAGUGGGCAAUGGCUGGCCAGUUCUUAUCUUGUGGAGACUCUGACUCAGCUCCAAAAUCUCUCCACCCAACUCACUAAGUUCCCACUGGCUGGUUGUUACCACACCAGCCCCAUGCUUCAAAACUCCCACGGCCUUUUGUGGUGCAUAUCAGGCAUACCCACGCUUUGCCGUACCUUUCUCUCUGGAACCCAGUUGAACCGCUGUGUGAAGGAAAACACCACACAAACUUAGUUCAAAAACAAUGGUAACUCAAUCCCUGGGUGCAACAACUAGAAUCCUAAUCUUGUAAGCCAUAUUAAAUCUAAAUCCCCAAGUGGUGAAUCCUGACAGAUCUGCCAUUGAAACCUGAAGACACUAGUAGCUACUUCUUGUAGUUGGACGGAGGAAGAGAGGAAGCAGGAGAGAGUUAGGGGCUUUUUGGAUGGGGAUAGGAGAGGACAAGCAUGGGACUGGCGGGGUAGCAACCGGGCAGUGGGAACUUAGUGAAGCUGGGUGGAGAGAAUCUGGCACUGAGUCAGAGAGUCUCCAGGAGUUAAGAACAGGCCAGCCAUUGCCCGCUAGAGCCGGUCAGCCCGCUGGGACAGAGAGUAGCUGGAUGUAGCCCUGGAACUUGCAGGUUUUUUUUUUUUUUUUUUAAUAUUUCCCGAAACAUCAAAAAACAAAAACAGCAGAAAAAAAUGUUGACCUUGUCCUGUUUGCCUGCAGUUUAGGCAGCUUGGCAGUUAAUUAUUUUUACUCUAAAUGUCUAGGUUCAGUGGGGAUAGCUAGACUAUAAGACAUUAACAGGUCUAUUCAUCUGUAGCUGGGCCUAAGCUUCUGUUUUGG